AAACAGAUAAAAAUAAAUAUAGAUAAAUACAUGGAAAAUAAAGAUAUAAAAUUUCUUAAUAAAAAUAUGCAAAAACUACUAAGGCUAAAACAAACAACUACAAAACACUAUAAUAAAACCAAUUUUAAAAGAUAGAUCAUUUAGAUUAUCUUAAAGUUUUAAUCUUAUAUAUACUUAAAGAUAUAAAAAUAAUAGAUAUCAAGAAAAUAAUAUUAGAAGAAGUAAUAAACUAUGAAAUUGAAACUGCAAAUUGUCUAGAACAGUUAUACGAAGAAAUUUACCCAGAAGGAUAUUAUUCAGAUUAAAAAAUGUUAGAAUAUAUUAGAAAAACUAGAGAAAAUCAAGAAAAUCUAAAUAAUGAAAUUAAUUAUAGAAACCGAAUUAGGAAAAUAAUGGAGAAUCUAAAAGAAAAAUUAAUAUGGAUAGAAGAAACCUUAGAAAAUUUAG
rnacentral:lncRNA from 1 species